rnacentral:rRNA from 1 species
GACGAACGCUGGCGGCGUGCUUAACACAUGCAAGUCGAACGGAAAGGCCCUGCUUUUGUGGGGUGCUCGAGUGGCGAACGGGUGAGUAACACGUGAGUAACCUGCCCUUGACUUUGGGAUAACUUCAGGAAACUGGGGCUAAUACCGGAUAGGAGCCCCUGCUGCAUGGUGGGGGUUGGAAAGUUUCGGCGGUUGGGGAUGGACUCGCGGCUUAUCAGCUUGUUGGUGGGGUAGUGGCUUACCAAGGCUUUGACGGGUAGCCGGCCGGAGAGGGUGACCGGCCACAUUGGGACUAAGGUACGGCCCAGACUCCUACGGGGGGCAGCAGUGGGGAAUAUUGUACAAUGGGCGGAAGCCUGAUGAAGCAGCGCCGCGGGCGGGAUGACGGCCUUCGGGUUGUAAACCGCUUCCGCCUGUGACGAAGCGUGAGUGACGGUAAUGGGUAAAUAAGCACCGGCUAACUACGUG